rnacentral:rRNA from 1 species
UACGUAGGGGGCAGGCGUUGUCCGGAUUUAUUGGGCGUAAAGAGCGUGUAGGCGGCCAGGCAGGUCCGCUGUGAAAACUCGAGGCUCAACCUCGAGAGGUCGGUGGAAACCGUUUGGCUAGAGUCCGGAAGAGGAGAGUGGAAUUCCCGGUAUAGCGGUGAAAUGCGCAGAUAUCGGGAAGAACACCCGUGGCGAAGGCGGCUCUCUGGGACGGUACUGACGCUGAGACGCGAAAGCGUGGGGAGCGAACAGG